AUUGAACGCUGGCGGCAUGCCUUACACAUGCAAGUCGAACGGCAGCACGGGGCAACCUGGUGGCGAGUGGCGAACGGGUGAGUAAUGCAUCGGAACGUACCUUUCAGUGGGGGAUAACGUAGCGAAAGUUACGCUAAUACCGCAUAUUCUGUGAGCAGGAAAGCAGGGGAUCGCAAGACCUUGCGCUGAUUGAGCGGCCGAUGUCAGAUUAGCUAGUUGGUUGGGUAAAGGCUCACCAAGGCGACGAUCUGUAGCGGGUCUGAGAGGAUGAACCGCCACAAUGGAACGUAGACACGGUCCAGACUCCUACGGGAGUCAGCAGUGGGGAAUUUUGGACAAUGGGGGCAACCCUGAUCCAGCCAUGCCGCGUGAGUGAAGAAGGCCUUCGGGUUGUAAAGCUCUUUCGGCCGGGAAGAAAUCGCACGGGCUAAUACCCUGUGUGGAUGACGGUACCGGAAUAAGAAGCACCGGCUAACUACGUGCCAGCCGCCGCCGUAACAC
rnacentral:rRNA from 1 species